GAUGAACGCUGGCGGCGUGCUUAACACAUGCAAGUCGAACGGAAAGGCUCCUGCUUGCCGGGGUACUCGAGUGGCGAACGGGUGAGUAACACGUGGGUGAUCUGCCCUGCACUUCGGGAUAAGCCUGGGAAACUGGGUCUAAUACCGGAUAGGACGAUGGUUUGGAUGCCAUUGUGGAAAGUUUUUCGGUGUGGGAUGAGCUCGCGGCCUAUCAGCUUGUUGGUGGGGUAAUGGCCUACCAAGGCGUCGACGGGUAGCCGGCCUGAGAGGGUGUACGGCCACAUUGGGACUGAGAUACGGACCAGACUCCUACGGGAGGCAGCAGUGGGGAAUAUUGCACAAUGGGCGCAAGCCUGAUGCAGCGACGCCGCGUGGGGGAUGACGGCCUUCGGGUUGUAAACUCCUUUCGUCAGGGACGAAGCGAAAGUGACGGUACCUGGAUAAGAAGCACCGGCUAACUACGUG
rnacentral:rRNA from 1 species